GAGUCCUGAGGUUAGCUGGAUAGAGUACAUGGCUACGAACCAGGCGGUCGGAGGUUCGAAUCCUCCAGGACGCGCCA
rnacentral:tRNA from 1 species